CGGACGGGUGAGUAACGCGUGAGUAACCUGCCUUACACAAGGGGAUAGCCGUUGGAAACGACGAAUAAUACCCUAUGAAACUAUCACUUCGCAUGAAGCGAUAGUCAAAGUGUUAGCGGUGUAAGAUGGACUUGCGUCUGAUUAGCUAGUUGGUGGGAAAAAGCCCACCAAGGCAACGAUCAGUAGCCGGCUUGAGAGAGUGUACGGCCACAUUGGGACUGAGACACGGCCCAG
rnacentral:rRNA from 1 species